CCUACGGGAGGCAGCAGUAGGGAAUAUUGCUCAAUGGGCGAAACCCUGAAGCAGCAACGCCGCGUGGAGGAUGAAGGUCUUCGGAUUGUAAACCCUUUUUGUUAGAGAAGAUAAUGACGGUAUCUAACGAAUAAGCACCGGGCAACUCCGGGCCAGCAGCCGCGGUAAUACGGCGGGUGCAGGCGUUACACGGAAUCACCGGGCGUAAAGAGCGCGUAGGCGGGUUAGGAAGUCAGAGGUGAAAUCCUAUGGCUUAACCAUAGAACUGCAGUUGAAACUGUAAUUCUAGAGUAUUGGAGAGGUAGGUGGAAUUCGUGGUGUAGGGGUGAAAUCCGUAGAGAUCAAGAAGAACACUGAUUGCGAAGGCGGCCUGCUAGAACAUAACUGACGCUGAUGCGCGAAAGCGUGGGGAGCAAACAGGAUUAGAUACCCUUGUAGUC
rnacentral:rRNA from 1 species